rnacentral:rRNA from 1 species
AUGGGGCCUCAGCCAGCUGCGCAUCCAGCAUCCAAUCUCACACUUCCCAGCUCACAUACCACAGCAAAACCCGGCGAAACCAUGCACCAAGAAAGGCCGCCCUUCUGUGCGAUCCGGACGAGCAAAGGUAACGAGGGCCUCGUGUCUCCCAAUCGACCGGCGAGACGCGCCAUGAUCCUGCUACUGGCCUUGCUGCUCAUUUCUGAUGGAGUUGGCACUGCCCACUGCUCGACAGUCUCCGGUAACAGCACGGACAUGCUCUCGCUGCUAGAUUUCAAGCGGGACAUCACCAAUGAUCCAAGGCAAGCCUUGGGCUCUUGGAACGCCAGCAUCCCCCAUUGCGAGUGGAAGGGCGUCAACUGCAGCCUCACGCACCCAGGGCGAGUUACUGUGCUAAACCUCACCGAGCAAGGGUUGUCAGGUUCGAUUUCCCCGUCCCUUGGGAACCUGACGUUCCUUGAGACACUGGACCUGUCCACAAAUAGCUUCACCGGCGAGCUGCCUCCUCUUGGACGUCUCCACAGACUGCAACAACUUUUGCUGAGUAAAAACUCUUUGCAAGGGAUCAUUCCAGCUACACUUACAAAUUGUUCCAACCUAAGUUACUUAGACCUAUACGGUAACUUCCUGACAGGUGAAAUUCCACUCAGUAUAGGCUUGCUCUCCAACCUGUUGUGGUUACAGCUUUCAGAAAAUAAUAUCACCGGAACGAUCCCACCAAGCCUGAAAAACAUCAGCCAGUUAGAAGCAAUCGAUCUUGCAGAUAAUCAACUCAUGGGUAGCAUUCCCCAUGAGAUAGGACAAUUUCCAAGUAUGAUGGGUUUGGUACUCGGUGGUAAUAUGCUAUCAGGUAGAAUCCCAACAACCGUGCUUAACCAGUCUUAUCUACAAAUUUUAGACUUAAGUACCAAUAUGAUAGGGAGCACAUUGCCGUCUGAUUUUGGUGAUACCCCCCCAAGUCUCACAUUGCUCUACUUGGACUAUAACAUGUUUGAAGGUUAUAUCCCAGCUUCUCUGGGUAAUACUUCAGGGCUAUCAGUGUUGGACCUAUCAUAUAACAAAUUGACAGGUCAAGUUCCAAGUUCUCUUGGUAGGCUUGGAAUGUUGAACAAUCUAAACCUUCAGAAUAAUAAACUUGAAGCAAAGGAUAUUCAAAGCUGGGAAUUCAUAGAUACGUUGAGCAAUUGCAGAUCUCUGCAAGUUCUUGCACUAGGUAAAAAUCAGUUAAAAGGAGCUAUCCCAAGUUCUAUUGGUAACCUGUCAAGCAAACUUCAAGGACUAGGAUUAGAUGCAAACGACUUGUCAGGGACAAUACCCACUAACAUAGGUAAUCUUAGCGGCUUAACAACACUGGCUUUACGUGAAAACAAGCUCCACGGAUCCAUUGAAGGAUGGGUUCGAAAUCUGAGGAAUCUAACGGUUUUAGCUCUUGACGGGAAUAACUUCACUGGCCCAAUACCAACCUCUAUCAGUAAUCUUGCAAGACUGAAGAAGCUCUAUCUAGCAAACAAUGAAUUUGAAGGUCCAAUACCUUAA